rnacentral:rRNA from 1 species
UACGUAGGGUGCAAGCGUUAAUCGGAAUUACUGGGCGUAAAGCGUGCGCAGGCGGUUUUGUAAGUCUGUCGUGAAAUCCCCGGGCUCAACCUGGGAAUUGCGAUGGAGACUGCAAGGCUAGAAUCUGGCAGAGGGGGGUAGAAUUCCACGUGUGAGCAGUGAAAUGCGUAGAGAUGUGGAGGAACACCGAUGGCGAAGGCAGCCCCCUGGGUCAAGAUUGACGCUCAUGCACGAAAGCGUGGGGAGCAAACAGGG